rnacentral:rRNA from 1 species
AGUGAACGCUGGCGGUAGGCCUAACACAUGCAAGUCGAACGGCAGCACCGUAAGAGCUUGCUCUUACGGGUGGCGAGUGGCGGACGGGUGAGGAAUACAUCGGAAUCUACUUUUUCGUUGGUGCUAACGUAGGGAAACUUACGCUAAUACCGCAUACGACCUCCGGGUGAAAGCAGGGGAUCUUCUGGCCUUUUGCGUUUGAAUGAGCCGAUGUCGGAUUAGCUAGUUUGCGUGGUAAAGGCCCACCAAGGCGAGGAUCCGUAGCUGGUCAGAGAGGAUGAUCAGCCACACUGGAACUGAGACACGGUCCAGACUCCUACGGGAGGCAGCAGUGGGGAAUAUUGGACAAUGGGCGAAAGCCUGAUCCAGCCAUACCGCGUGGGUGAAGAAGGCCUUCGGGUUGUAAAGCCCUUUUGUUGGGAAAGAAAAGCAGCAGGUUAAUACCCCGCGGUUCUGACGGUACCCAAAGAAUAAGCACCGGCUAACUUCGUG